rnacentral:rRNA from 1 species
UACGAAGGGGGCUAGCGUUGCUCGGAAUUACUGGGCGUAAAGCGCACGUAGGCGGAUUGUUAAGUCGGGGGUGAAAUCCUGGAGCUCAACUCCAGAACUGCCUUCGAUACUGGCGAUCUCGAGUUCGGGAGAGGUGAGUGGAACUGCGAGUGUAGAGGUGAAAUUCGUAGAUAUUCGGCAAGAACACCAAUGGCGAAGGCGGCUCACUGGCCCGAUACUGACGCUGAGGUGCGAAAGCGUGGGGAGCAAACAGG